AUGCGUGUCUGGGUGGCAAAUUUAUCAGGGAAUGGUGAACUCACGUCUUGUCCCUGUUACAUCCUUUAUCUCAUCUCUCUCUAUAGCCUCUUCUCCAUCGAUAAAACAGACUGGAAAAGCAGACUGACAACCACAGACAUUGCAAAAUUUAUUUCAUCAUCCAAUAACCCAGCUGGCCAGUCACACAGACAUGACUUAGAAUCGCUGAACACGCAGUUGUUUCUGCUCCGGGGCCAUUUGUGGCACCCUGUUCAGAAUGCCGCGCUCAAGCUAAAUAAAAUCACGGCUCAGAGAGAAACACCAGGGCCCCCGGCACUGCAGGCUCAAAGGAGUCCAUGA
ensembl:lncRNA